AUCAUGUUGAGGGUGGAUUUGGCUCCGUUCUGUUUGAAUUCGAUGUAACGCAUCCAGCACUUGACUGAGUAUGGGUUCCUGAUAAUCUCCUCUUCAUAAGGCAGAUCAUCGUCCUCCUAGCAGAACCAGAAACCACAUAACACUUCAAAAACAACUCAACUUUUGAAACAGUUAAAACAUUGACGUUAGCGCAACAGCGUAACGUUCCUAGCUACAACAUCAACAAUUCAUCAGCAGCAGGCCAUGAACGGCCUGGGCGGCAAGAAGCAGUUCCAGAAACUGGAGUCCAGGGUAUGCACUGUAGGUGCAUGUGCUGAGCUGAAGUUAAGCCGAGCAAAGACGUGGAGAUGAUGCUGUUUAAGGACUGAGCUGACAUCCCAAGUAAUUCCUAUAUUAAAAACUACCUCAACUUCUUUUAUUCUGGGAAUCUGUGGAGACUGAGGAGGACAAGAAAAAUGUGGUCAGACUUCAGGACCUCUGGUGGACAAGCUGCAGCUCAAAGUCAAGUCAAAGAAAAGCAGGCCAACACUCACAUGUCCAGGCUGAGAAAGGUUAAUUAGCUGAAGGAAGCUGUGAUCCUGCAGAGGUAUCUUUGU